rnacentral:lncRNA from 10 species
CAGUUUUUAGGGUGGCUUGUUUGCACCACCUGGAUAGUCUUAAAAAAUCUCAAGAGGGAAAUUUCAAGUGAUAACAGGAUUUUACUGCCUUACAGGUAACUGGCAGAAGCAAAACAGAUUGUCUUUGGAGGAACUCGGAGAGUUUCAAGGAAUGUCUGCACUGCAAGAAAAGUUAAAGGAUGUCCUUUGGGCAGAAGGAAAAUGCCUGCCUUCUGAAGGAAAUAAGCACUGGAAAUAGUAACAACAUGGGUAAAUGUAGCAUUUAUUAUUUAAACCUCUUUAAAAGACAGUUAUUUAAAUAAAAGUCAUAGUGUAGGAUUUAUAAUAUAUGUAAGAGUAAAAUGGAUGACCACAAUAGCUUGAAGAUUAGGAGAGGAGAAUCAUGCUAUUGUAAAGUUCUCAUACACAAGGUGACGUGCUACCAUUUGAAGAUAGAGUGUGAUAAGUUACAGAUAUGUGCUGUAAACCCUAAAGCAGCUGCUAAAAUGACAUACCAAAAAAUCAUACCUAUUAAACUAUCAAAAGAUAAAAUGGAAUUAUUUUAAAAACUUGAUUCAUCAAAAAGAAGACAGAAAAAGAGGUAAAAGGGAAUAAAGAACAGUUAGGAUGAAUCGAAGACAAGUAGCAAGAUGAGAGACUCAACCUAAGCAUAUCAAUAAUCACAUUAAAUGUGAAUAGUGUGAACACCACCAAUUAAAAGGCAUAGAUUUUCAGACUGGAUUGAAAAAAACAUGACCUAAUUAUAUUCUGCCUACAAGAAAUGUACUUUAAAUAGAAAGAUACAAAUACUUAAAGGAUGGAAAAAAGAUAUGCUAACACUAGUUACAUGAAAAUUGAAGUGGCUAUAUUAAUCAAAAUAGAGCAAAAAGUAAUUCCCAGCAUAUUAGUCAAUUCUCGCACUGCCAUAAAGAAAUAUCUGAGACUGGGUAGCUUAUAAAGAAAAGAGGUUUAAUUGGCUCACAUUUCUUCUUCUUCUUUUUUUUUUUUUUUUUUUUGAGACAGAGCCUCCCUCUGUUGCCCAGGAUGGACUGCAGUGGCGCAAUCUCGGCUCACUGCAACCUCCACCUCCUGGGUUCAAAUGAUUCUCCUGCCUCAGCCUCUUGAGUAGCUGGGAUUACAGGCAUGCGCCACCAUGCCUGGCUAGUUUUUUUUUGUUUCGUUUUUUUGUUUUUGUUUGUUUUUCUUUUUUUAGUAGAAACAGGGUUUCACCUUAUUGGCCAGGCUGGUCUCGAACUCCUGACCUCGUGAUCUCUCCACCUCAGCCUCCCAAAGUGCUGGGAUUACAGGCAUGGGCCACCACACCUGGCCUAAUUGGCUCACGUUUCUGCAGGCUGUGCAGGAAGCACAGUGGGCAUCUGCCUGGCUUCUGGGGAGGCCUCAGGAAAACUCAAUCAUGGCGGAAGGUGAAAGAGAAGCAUGGCCAGAGCAGGAGGGAGGGGUGUGGGAGGUACCACACACUUUUAAACAACCAGAUCUUGUGAGAAUUCUAUCACUAGAAGAGCACUAAAUGGGGGAAUCCACCCCCAUGAGCCAAUCACCUCCCACCAGGCCCCAACUCCAACACUGGGGAUUACAAUUUGACAUGAGAUUUGGGCAGGGACACAGACCCAAACCGUAUCACCCAGGAUUAAAGAAAGUUAUUUCAUACUGACAACACACACCUCAUAACAAAGCUUCAAAACACAUAAAGCAAGAACAACUAGAACUUCAAGGAGACAUAGAUCAACCCACUAUUAUCAGACGUUAAUACCCCACCCUCAAUAAUUGACAGAACAAGUAGGCAGAAAAUCAAUAAGAAUAAUAAAGUAGACUUCAGCAAUUUUAUCAAUCAACUUGACCCGAUUGACAUUUACAGGACAUUGCAUCUUACAAUAGCAGAAAAUUUUUCUUGAGAAAAUGGAGAAACAACUCAAUUUUGUUUCUUGAGAAAUAACUUGAGAAAAAUUUUUAGCUGUUCAAACAAAAAUCAUAGUACGGGAUUUAUAAUAUAUGUAAAAGUAAAGUGGGUUAAGAGUUUUUCGCAAGUACACAUGGAACAUUUAUAGAGAUGGACUACAUUAUAGACCAUUUAAAAAGUCUCAAAUUCAAAACAUUUGUCACAUAAAGUAUGUUGUCUGGCCACAACGGAAUUAAAUUAGAAAUCAAUAGCAGAAACUAGAAAAGAGAAAAACUCAAAGUAAGCAGAAGAAAAGGAAUAAUAAAGGUCAAAGUGGGACUUAAUGAAAUUUUUAAAAUAGAGAAAAAUGAAUGAAUCAAAAUUUGGGGAGUUUGGGGGGGAAAUUUUUUUAAAUUGAGAAAUCUCCAGCCAGGUACAUAUAUCAGGGAAAAAAGAAACAAGACACAAGUUACCAAUACUAGGAAUGAGAGAGGUGGCAUCACUGAAGAGCCUACAGAUAGAAAAGGAUAGUAAGGAAAUAUUAGGAACACCUUUAUAGCAAUAAAUUCAACAUAGAUGAAAUUGACAAAUCCUUUGAAAGGCACAAAUUACCAAAGCUCACCCAAGAAGAAGUAGAUGAUCUGAAUAGCCCUAUAUCUGUUAAAGAAGUUGAAAUUACAGUUUAAAAACAUGUAACGAAAAUCUAGGGCUAGGCGUGGUGGCUCGCACCUGUAUUCCCAGCAUGUUGGGAAGUUGAGGUGGGAGGAUCACUUGAAGCCAGGAGUUCAAGGACAGACUGGACAACAUAGCGAGAUUCCAAAAAAAAAAAAAAAAAAAUUAGCCAGGCAUGGUAGCACAUGCCUGUAGUCCUAGCUACUUGAGAGGCUGAGGCAGGAUGAUUGCUUGAGCCUAGGAAUUGAAGGCUGCGGUGAGCAAUGAUCACACCACUGCACUCCAGCCUGGCUGACAAAUCAAGGCCCUGACUCAAAGAAAGGGAGAGAAGGAGAGAGAGAGGAAGAAAUAUUUUCCACCUCAUUAUCUGAGGCCAGAAUUAUCCUAGUGCCAAAAUUAUCCUAGGACCCUGGCCAAACAAACAUGCUACCAGGAAAGAAAACUACAGAUCAACAUUUCUCAUGAACAUAGGGUAAAAUUCUAAGCCAGUUUAUCAAAUUGAGUCCUACAAGAUAAGAAACAGGUAAUAAAACAUGAUCAAGAGGGAAUAUCCAAGGAGUGUAGGGUUGACUUAACAUUUGAAAAAUCAAUCAAUAUAAUUCAUUGUAUAAACAAGCUAAAAAAGAAUAAUCAUAUAAUCAAUCAAUACAGAAAGGCAUUUGACAAAAUCCAGCAUUCAUUACUGAUAAUCAAGAAGGUUAGGAAUAAACAACACUUCUUCAAUCUGAUCAAGGGCAUCUACAAAAACCCUACAGCUAACAUCACACUUAAUUGUGAAAGACAAUAUUCCCCACCUUCCCAACGUCAGGAACAAAUCAGGGAUGCCUGCUUUUACCGCCUCUGUUCAACAUUGUACUGAAGGCUUUAGACUGUGCAAUCAGAGAACAAACAGAAAUAAUGGACAUCCAGGUUGGAAAGAAAGAAAGAAAAAUGUAUUCACAGAUGACAUGAUUAUUUAUGCAAAAUUCAGCGGACUCUACAAAUGAGCUACUAGAACAAAUAAGUGAGUUUGUCAAGGUUGCAGGAUACAGAGUAGUGUACAAAAAUCAGUUGUAUAUGGUAGCAAUGAAAAAUUGAUAAUUGAAACAAAAAAUCAACAUUUGCAAUCACAUAAACAAUACUACCUUUGCAAUAGCAUAAAUACCUGGGAUAAGUCUGACCAAAAAAAUGAGAAAAAUACUGUACACUGAAAACUACAAAAUACUGAUAUGAUAAAGAGACCUAAAUAGAUGAUAUACCUUGUUCAUGGGUCAGAAGACUCAAUAUUGUGAAGAUGUCAUGUCAUAUUCCCAAAAUAUAGAUUCAAUAUAGAUUUAAUACAAUCACAAUCAAAAUCCCAGCAGCCUAUGUGUGUGUGUGUGUGUGUGUAAAAUGACAAACUGAUUCUAAAAUGUUUGUAGAACUUCAAAGGACCUAGAGUAGCCAAACAACUUCACAAAAGAAGAACCAAGUUAGACGACUAAUAUUACUAGAUUUUUAAGGAGUUAUUCUAAAGCAACAGUAAUCAAGACAGUGUGGUAUUGACAUGAAGGAUAUACCAAUAGAUCAAUGAUAUAGGAUUUGUGUCCAGAAUGUAAAGUACUUUCAAAACUCAGCAAUAAGAAAACAAACAAACCAAAUGGAAAAUGAAGGAAAGACAUCAACAGACAUUUUACCAAAGAGUCCACUUAAACUGCAAAUAAAUGAGUGAAAAGAUGUUCUAACAUCAUUAACCAUUAGGAAAAAGGCAACUUAAAAUCAUGAUAUCACUAACUCCUAUUAGAAUGGUUACAAAGGCAAAUUAAAAUCAUGAUAUCACUAACUCCUAUUAGAAUGGUAAAAGAUAGUGAUAACAUCAAAUUCUGACAACUAUGCUGAAAAACUUUAUCUCCCGUAUAUUACUGGCAGUAAUGUAUAAUUUCACAGCCAUUCAGAAAAAUACCUCCCAGUUUACUUAUAAAAGAAAACAUGAAAUUACCAUAUGAUCCAGUAAUUUCACUCUUGGGCAUUUAUCCUGGGAAAUGAACUUAUGUUCACACAAAAACCCAUACUCAAAUGUUCAUAGCAGCUUUAUGUGUAAUGAGCAAGACCUAGGAAAAAAACAAAUGUCCUUCAGUGCGUGAAUGGUUAAGCAAAUUGUGAUCCAUGAAAUACUGCUUAACAAUAAAAAGGAGCAAGUUAUUAACACACCCAAUAACUUGGAAGGAUCUCAAGGGAAUUAUAUGGAGUGAAAAAAAACCCAGACCAAAAAGUUACUAUUGUAUGAUUCCAUUUAUAUAACAUCCUUGAAAUGAAAAAAUUGUAGAAAUGGAGACCAGAUUAGUGGUUGCCUGAGAUUAGGGAUGUUGGGGGUGGGGAGGGGUCAGUGUGGCUGUAACAGGGCAAUAAAAAGGAUCAUCAUGGUGAUGGAACUCUUGUAUAUCUUGACUGUGGUUGUCAGUACAUGGACCUACACAUGAAAUAAAACUGCAUAGAACACACUCCACCGCCGCCUCUGACACACACACUACAACUAAGGAAAUGUGAAUCAGGUCUGUGGAUUGUACCAGUGUCAGUUUCCUAGUUUUGACAAUGUGCUACAGUUAUAUGAGAUGUUACUACUGGAGGUAUAAAAUGUUACACAGGACCUUUCCGUAUGAUAUCCGCCACUUCCUCUGAAUGUAUAAUUGUUUCAAAAGGUAAACACAACUUUAGGAAAGAGAAAAGGUGAUAGGAGGAGGGAGGCCCAUAUAGGUAUAUGUAAAUUGCUGUCCUGACUCAAACUUCCUUGCAGAAUGGAUGAUUCCUGUGGAUUUAUUACAAUAUUCAAAUAAAUAAAUGGCCAUGCACAGGAACACUGAUGAAAAUGGGUCAAAAUCAAUGCAAAAUCACAGUGGUUAUUCCAACCCUGUGCACUGAGCCUGGAGGAAGUCUACAGGGGGUGGAAGGGAAUGAGGGUGGGUGGAUGUCUUCAGUAGAUGGAGUUAGUCCUGGAUUUCCUGAGGAUGAGAAGCAACUGGGAGCAUAGCAACAAGCAAAACAGAAAGAAGGCAGGUAGUGCUCAGAACACAAGGCUGCAGCAUGAACCGCCUUUUGCACCGAAGCUAAGGCUGGUCUCUCUCUGAAAAAGGCAGGCAGCCAGGGGCUGGCCCCAAGGACAGUGAGGUGGGGCACAGGGCUGGGCUCUGCAGCAGCCUGUUCUGGCGCCCAGCCUCUGCUGGGAAGGAGUUGUGGGCCAGUCUGUGGGGAGGAAUGCCUAGACUGGUUGAAGAGGGCUGUGGUGGAGCAGGAUGUGGAGGGCACUCGUGGUGAGCUUCCAAAAACCUAGGAUCAAUCCCCAGGACUCCCCUCCCAUGUCUCCUUUAUGCCCCCAACCCCAGCCAUUGGCCAUCCCCCUGCUCUAGCUGGGGCAACCUCCUUCAGUAAUGUUGACCACAAAAUUUUGUAUCUAUUUUUAGCAAAGCUACUCUGUAUAUGACUUGUUGAGCAUCACAUUACCUGCCAAGUGGAUAUCUUCUCUGGGACGAGAUGCUCUCUUUGCCCAUCUGUUAUGGACUGAAUGUUUCUGUCCCCUGAAAAUCAUAAUGCUGAGGCCCUAACCCCAGUGUGAUGGUCUUAGCAGGCAGGCCUUUGGGAGGUGGCUGGGCUUAGAUAAGGUCGUCAGGGUGGAGCCCCCACAGUGGGAUUAGUGUCCUCACAGGAAGGAGAUGAGACCACAGCUCUCUUGGUCAUGUGAGGCUACAGCAAGGACAUAGCCAUGGAGAAGUCAGGAAGGGAGCCCUCACCAGGACCCCAGUCAUGCUGGCACCCAGCUCCAGGGACUUCCCAGCCUCCAGAACUGUGAGAAAUCGGCUUCUGUUGUUUAAGGCAUGCAGUCUACAGUAUUUGGUUAUGGCAAGCUGAGCUAAGCCCCCAUCUCUGGCAGUCACAUUCAGAGGGAACAGUGAUAUCCAUCCAGGAGCAUCUACCACCUCCCCUCUCCACUAACCACUUAGCCACACCCAUCCUUACUGCCAAGAGGUUCCCCCCCACCCCACUUUCUUCAUUAAGACUUUUUUAGAGGCCAGGUAUGGUGUCUCACCCCUAUAAUCCUAGCACUUUGGGAGGCUGAGGCAGGUGGAUUGCUUGAGCUCAGGAGUUCAAGAUCAGCCUGGCCAACAUGGCAAGACCCUAUUUCUACAAAAAAUACACAAAUUAGCUGGACAUGGUGGUGCAUGCCUAUAGUCCCAGCUACUCAGGAGGCUGAGGUGGGAGGAUGACCUGAGCCUGGGAGAUAGCGGCUGCAGUGAGUUGAGAUCACACCACUGCACUUCAGCCUGGGUGACAGAGCAAGACCCUAUCCCCCCCCCAAAAAAAAGACUUUUUUAAAAAACAGUUUUAGAUUUAUGGGAAAAAAGCAGUACAGAGAGUUCCUAUGUACUUCCCCCAACACACACACACACACACACACACACACACAAUUUCUCCUAAUAUUAACAUCUUUCAUUGGUAUGAUACAUUUGUUACAGUUAAUGAACCAAUAUUGAUACGUUAUUAUUAUCCAGGAUCCAGACUAUAUUCAGACACCCUUAGUUUCCCCCUGAGUCCUUUUCCUGUUCCAGCUCCCUCCAGGACCCCACAUUCCAUUGAGUCCUCCUGGCUGUGAGUGUCUCAGGCUCUCCUGGUUUUGGGUGGUCUUUACAGUUCUUCAGGGUGCUACUCAGGGGAACUGUGGAAUGCCUCUUUGUUGCAAUUUGUCUGAUGUUUUUUCUUGAGAUUAGAUUGGAGCUUUGGGUUUUGGGGAGGAAGCCCACAGAGGUAAAAGGCCAUUGCCAUCACCUUAUUUCAAGAGCAAAUAGUCUCAACGUGAUUUAGGGCUGUUGCUGUUGACCUUGAUCAGCUGGCCGAGGUGGUGGUUGUCAGGCAUCUCCACUGUGAAAUUACUCUCCUCUGGUCCCCUUUCCAUUCUGUCCUCUUUGGAAGGAAGUCACUAUGUGCGGCCCAUCCUUAAGGAGUGCAGAGUUCUGCUCCCCUCCUUUAGGGUGGAAGAGAUACAUAAGGUAUUUCAAAUUCUGCAGCGGAGCUCUCUUUUCCCCCACUCAUUAAUGUAUUCAAUCAUUUAUUUCUAUCAGUAUGGACUCAAGGAUCUUUCUACUUUGUGAUAAUCCAAUUCUAAUACUGCUUUCUUUAUUUUGUAGCUCAAACUGUUCCAGCUGUGGCCAUUGGGAGCUCUUUCAGUUGGCUCCUGUGCUCCUUCAACAUAAACCCAUCAAUGGGGUGUGUGUGUGUUUACUGUUAUGCUGAGCACUUCCUUACUUCCUGGCACCAUAAGAUGCUCCAGGCUCACCUCACAUUUCCUGCCUCAGUCCUAGAAUCAACCAUUUCUCUCAGGAAUCUUGGUUCCAUUUCUUUUGGAAAAUGGCACUAGACACUAAGGUCUGGGUGCUGGGUGUGCUCACGGAUACUGAGGUCAGCCAGGUGUUUCUCAUACAUUGUUGUCAGGUUAUGUUCUGACCUACACUCUCCACUCCAAGCAAACUGCUCUUGUAUUUUCCGAUUCUCAACUUGGCAUUCCCAUAUCUAUGUCUUCCUCACCUCCAACCCCAGCCCAUCACUUCCCCAGGGGGUUGUCACCUCCUGCAUGAUUCCCCAGCAGAAGUUGCCUUUCUCUUCUCUGGAGCACUCUGCACACUGAGGACACAGCCUGCUCGUUUUGUCUUGGAGCUUCUCCACCCUAUCUUCAGGCUCCUCCUUGGCUCUAAGUCUUGAGGGCAGGUCAGUGUCUCCAGCCGCUGACU